rnacentral:rRNA from 1 species
AGUGAACGCUGGCGGUAGGCCUAACACAUGCAAGUCGAACGGCAGCACAGUAAGAGCUUGCUCUUACGGGUGGCGAGUGGCGGACGGGUGAGGAAUACAUCGGAAUCUACUUUUUCGUGGGGGAUAACGUAGGGAAACUUACGCUAAUACCGCAUACGACCUACGGGUGAAAGCAGGGGAUCUUCGGACCUUGCGCGAUUGAAUGAGCCGAUGUCGGAUUAGCUAGUUGGCGGGGUAAAGGCCCACCAAGGCGACGAUCCGUAGCUGGUCUGAGAGGAUGAUCAGCCACACUGGAACUGAGCCACGGCCCAGACUCCUACGGGGGGCAGCAGUGGGGAAUAUUGGACAAUGGGCGAAAGCCUGAUCCAGCCAUACCGCGUGGGUGAAGAAGGCCUUCGGGUUGUAAAGCCCUUUUGUUGGGAAAGAAAAGCAGCAGGUUAAUACCCCGCUGUUCUGACGGUACCCAAAGAAUAAGCACCGGCUAACUUCGUG